rnacentral:rRNA from 1 species
CCUACGGGCGGCAGCAGUGGGGAAUAUUGCACAAUGGGGGAAACCCUGAUGCCGCGACGCCGCGUGAGUGAAGAAGUAUUUCGGUAUGUAAAGCUCUAUCAGCAGGAACGAGACAAGACGGUACCUGACUAAGAAGCCCCGGCUAACUACGUGCCAGGAGCCGCGGUACUACGGAGGGGGCCACCGUUAACCGGCAACACUGGGUGUAAAGGGAGCGUAGACGGCUGUGCAAGCCUGAAGGUAAAGGGGGGGGCCCAACCCCUGGACUGCUUUGGGAACUGUACGGCUGGAGUGCAGGAGAGGUAAGUGGAAUUCCUAGUGUAGCGGUGAAAUGCGUAGAUAGUAGGAGGAACACCAGUGGCGAAGGCGGCUUACUGGACUGUAACUGACGUUGAGGCUCGAAAGCGUGGGGAGCAAACAGGAUUAGAUACCCCAGUAGUC